GACCUCAGUUCAGGUGAAAUUACCGGCUGAAUUUAAGCAUAUUACUAAGCCGAGGAAAAGAAACUAAC
rnacentral:rRNA from 1 species